GGAGGGAGGGGGUGGAGGGGGAGCACAAUAAUACAAUUCUGUUUAGGGCACCCAUUUGGCCAGUAGCGGACCUGAUUCUGCCUUAACAUUACACUUGUCACAAACGGAUGGAAAAAUUCUGGAAACAGACGUCUCAAACAGGUUUGAUGAAGUUUUACAUCCUGUAUCAGGAAAGAAGCUCCUUCCCCAACUGCCGCACCGGCACGAAGCGGACAGCCUCGUGCCAAACACACCAGCAGCCGGAAGGACCCUCACGGCGGGGCGGGACCGCUGACGCAACGCCGGCCGGCGAUUGGGGAGUCAGGCGGGAAAAGGCGACAGAGGAGGAGGAUAAAAGGGCGCGCUUCCGGCUAUACGGUGAGAGGAAGACCGACGGUGAACAAACGGAAUUCGUGCGUGCGCUUCAGCGGCCUACAGACGCGCCCACACGGAGUACAACGGAGACAGAUCUGGACUGCUGGCAGGCCGGUCAAGCACACGCACUCCGUAUCUACGAAGCCAUGCUGUUGUAGCACAUGCAGAAUGAGGCCUGGCAUUGUCCUGAUAAAGUAACCAUGGACUUCCCGGGAAAAGACGUUGCCUUGAUGGCAGCAUGUGUCUCUCUUAAACCCCUCAUAUAUACGCCUCAGCGUCAAUGGUACCUUCACACAUAUGCAAGUCACCCAUGCCAUGGGCACUGAUGCACCCCAUACAUUGCACCUUUCACUUAUUACAGUCUGGUUGGUCUUUUUCAUCUUUGUCAGAGAACUCGACAUCCGUUUUUCCCGAAAACAAGCUGAAACAUGGACUCAUCUGACCACAGCACGCCUUUCCACUGCCUUUCAGUCCAUCUGA
ensembl:lncRNA